rnacentral:rRNA from 1 species
UGGGGGAAUAUUGCACAAUGGAGGAAACUCUGAUGCAGCGACGCCGCGUGAGGGAAGAAGGUUUUCGGAUUGUAAACCUCUGUCUUCGGGGACGAUAAUGACGGUACCCGAGGAGGAAGCCACGGCUAACUACGUGCCAGCAGCCGCGGUAAUACGUAGGUGGCAAGCGUUGUCCGGAUUUACUGGGUGUAAAGGGAGCGCAGGUGGAAACGCAAGUAGGAUGUCUAAUCUACGGGCUCAACCCGUAACCGCAUUCUAAACUGUGUUUCUUGAGUGGAGUAGAGGCAGGCGGAAUUCCCGGUGUAGCGGUGGAAUGCGUAGAUAUCGGGAGGAACACCAGUGGCGAAGGCGGCCUGCUGGGCUCUAACUGACACUGAGGCUCGAAAGCGUGGGUAGCAAACAGGAUUAGAUACCCUGGUAGU